rnacentral:misc_RNA from 1 species
GUAGACGAAAAAACCACCCUGGCAGGUGGUUUUUCGAAGGUUAAAUAAUCCUGGCAGAUUAUUUAACCGUGGUAACAGGGUGUACAAGACCGCUGCCACCAAAUCUGUCCUUUCAGUGUAGCCGCAGUUGGUCCUUCACUUCAAGAACUACGUAUCAGCAAUUUCUUGUACAUCCUCUACCAGUGGCUGCUGCCAGUGGCGUUAAGGCGUGUCUUACCGGGUUGGACUCAAGACGAUAGUUACCGGAUAAGGCGCAGCGGUCGGGCUGAACGGGGGGUUCGUGCACACAGCCCAGCUUGGAGCGAACGACCUACACCGAACUGAGAUACCAACAGCGUGAGCUAUGAGAAAGCGCCACGCUUCCCGAAGGGAGAAAGGCGGACAGGUAUCCGGUAAGCGGCAGGGUCGGAACAGGAGAGCGCACGAGGGAGCUUCCAGGGGGAAACGCCUGGUAUCUUUAUAGUCCUGUCGGGUUUCGCCACCUCUGACUUGAGCGUCGAUUUUUGUGAUGCUCGUCAGGGGGGCGGAGCCUAUGGAAAAA